rnacentral:lncRNA from 1 species
GCAGCUGUCUUUGUCUGGGGCGGCGGCAGCGUGGCAGGAGCGAGGGGCGCCCCGACCCGUCCCCUCCGCCCUCCACUACCCCUGCCGGCUCCAGCCCGUCCGUGUCUCACCCUCUUUGUUUAACAAAGAGCGGAGAGACUAUAAAUGCCCCUGAGCAGCUUGGCUGCGAGCAGGGCCCUUGGGGCGUCCCACCGGCGUCAUCCUAGCCGCGUGAGCGCCGAGCUUGGGCACGGGGGGGAGGGGGGGGUGGCGGGGGUUGGCGUGCUUGUACACUUGAUCCAUUUUCUCUAAACUGCCGCGAUGAAUGUCAGUCCCCAGAGCCGGAAUCGUUCCCGGUUUUCUCUACUUGAAUCUGAGAACUAUGUCCCUCCAGCCCUGCGAGCGCUUUGCCAGGGUGACGGGGGGAAAUGUCCCCGCAUCAGUGCCUGCUUUCCCAGAUGGGACCCUCCAGCAGUCCCCUCCACUGCCCUUGCUUCCUCCACUGCCCUUGCUUACUCCUAACCACUUCCCCCCAGCGACCGCGGAAGGCGCUUCCUCCCCGGCAGCCCGAGCCCCAAGCUCUUCCAGCGCCCCAGCUCUCCCCGCCCCCUUCCUGACCUUGUUUCAUAUGACCCCUCCCCCGCAUAUACUCAAUUUCAUCUUCCCAAGGCGCCCACUCUCCACAUCCUGAGGAAAAAAAGAGCCGGCUGCUGUCCUA